rnacentral:rRNA from 1 species
ACCCCCCACACUGGUACUGAGACACGGACCAGAUACCUGCGGGUAGCAGCAGCAAGGAAUAUUGCGCAAUCGACGAAAGUCGGACGCAGCAACACCGCGUGAAGGAUGAAGGCCUUCGGGUCGUAAACUUCUUUUCUGGGGGAAGAGAAAGGACGGUACCCCAGGAAUAAGUCUCGGCUAACUACGUGCCAGCAGCCGCGGUAAAACGUAGGAGGCGAGCGUUAUCCGGAUUUAUUGGGCGUAAAGCGCAUGCAGGCUGUUUACAAAGUCGGACGUGAAAGCUCCUGGCUCAACUGGGAGAGGCCGUUCGAAACUAGUAGACUUGAGGAUGGUAGAGGUAAGUGGAAUUCCCGGUGUAGUGGUGAAAUGCGUAGAUAUCGGGAGGAACACCAGUGGCGAAGGCGGCUUACUGGGCCAUUCCUGACGCUCAGAUGCGAAAGCUGGGGGAGAGAACGGGAUUAGAAACCCCGGUAUUCCUAGCCGUAAACGAUGUCAACUAGGCGUAGGAGGUUAUUGACCCCUUCUGUGCUGCAGCUAACGCGUUAAGUUGACCGCCUGGGGACUACGGCCGCAAGGCUAAAACUCAAAGGAAUUGACGGGGACCCGCACAAGCAGCGGAGCGUGUGGUUUAAUUCGAGGCUACGCGAAGAACCUUACCAGGGUUUGACAUAUACGUGGUAGAGAAUCGAAAGAGGAUCGACCCUUCGGGGAGCGUAUACAGGUGCUGCAUGGCUGUCGUCAGCUCGUGCCGUGAGGUGUUAGGUUAAGUCCUGUAACGAGCGCAACCCUCGUCGUUAGUUAUACGUGUCUAACGAGACUGCCCGUGAUAAGCGGGAGGAAGGUGGGGAUGACGUCAAGUCAGCAUGGCCUUUAUAUCCUGGGCUACACACACGCUACAAUGGCCGGUACAAUGGGUCGCGAAGCCGCGAGGUGGAGCUAAUCCUCUAAAGCCGGUCUCAGUUCGGAUUGUAGGCUGCAACUCGCCUGCAUGAAGUCGGAGUUGCUAGUAAACGUGCGUCAGCACAGCGCGUUGAAUACGUUCCCGGGUCUUGUACACACCGCCCGUCACGUCAUGGAAGUUGGCAACGCCUAAAGUCAGUGAGCUAACCCUAACGGGAGGCAGCUGCCUAAGGCGGGGUCGGUAACUGGGACGAAGUCGUAACAAGGUAGCUGUAGCGGAAGCUGCGGCUG